AUUGAACGCUGGCGGCAUGCUUUACACAUGCAAGUCGAACGGCAGCGCGGGCUUCGGCCUGGCGGCGAGUGGCGAGCGGGUGAGUAAUGCAUCGGAACGUGCCCAGUAGUGGGGGAUAGCCCGGCGAAAGCCGGAUUAAUACCGCAUACGACCUGAGGGUGAAAGCGGGGGACCGAAAGGCCUCGCGCUAUUGGAGCGGCCGAUGUCGGAUUAGCUAGUUGGUGGGGUAAAGGCUUACCAAGGCGACGAUCCGUAGCUGGUCUGAGAGGACGACCAGCCACACUGGGACUGAGACACGGCCCAGACUCCUACGGGAGGCAGCAGUGGGGAAGUUUGGACAAUGGGGGCAACCCUGAUCCAGCCAUGCCGCGUGCGGGAAGAAGGCCUUCGGGUUGUAAACCGCUUUUGUUCGGGAAGAAAUCCUCUGGGCUAAUACCCCGGGGGGAUGACGGUACCGGAAGAAUAAGCACCGGCUAACUACGUG
rnacentral:rRNA from 1 species